rnacentral:rRNA from 1 species
CCUACGGGAGGCUGCAGUGAGGAAUAUUGGUCAAUGGGCGCGAGCCUGAACCAGCCAAGUCGCGUGAGGGAAGACGGUCCUAUGGAUUGUAAACCUCUUUUGUCGGGGAGCAAAAGACGCCACGCGUGGCGUUCCGAGAGUACCCGAAGAAAAAGCAUCGGCUAACUCCGUGCCAGCAGCCGCGGUAAUACGGAGGAUGCGAGCGUUAUCCGGAUUUAUUGGGUUUAAAGGGUGCGCAGGCGGAAGAUCAAGUCAGCGGGAAAAUUGAGAGGCUCAACCUCUUCGAGCCGUUGAAACUGGUUUUCUUGAGUGAGUGAGAAGUAUGCGGAAUGCGUGGUGUAGCGGUGAAAUGCAUAGAUAUCACGCAGAACUCCGAUUGCGAAGGCAGCAUACCGGCGCUCAACUGACGCUCAUGCACGAAAGUGUGGGUAUCGAACAGGAUUAGAUACCCGAGUAGUC